GCAAGCCUGGAGCCCAUGGAAUAGACCAGAAAAUCAACGUCUCUCUCUCUUCCCCAGGUCACCCCUCAAUCUUAACUCCCUGUUUGGUUUCCGAGAAAAUAAAUAUAAACAAAUAGAAAUUGCAAGCGAGCAAUUCUCAGAUGUUAGCUUCGAAGUUGGCAAAUCUUCGGUCCAUGUGCUUGACCACAAAAUUGCAUUUCAGAACUUCCAAAAUACGAUGCCGAUUCAUAACAAUUGAGCUUAACUCAACAUUCAUUUUAACUUCAAGGGAACAAUGGGUUCUUGAGCAAUUCUGAGAUAGCUGAAGCAGAGAUGACAAAAUCGCAACUUGUUGCUGCAAAGGAGGAUUUGGACACAAGUUUGGUUUCUAACUACAAAUUGACAUCACAUUUGCAGAAGGAGCUUGAUAAUGUAUUGAUCAUAAGAAAUCAAAAGGAGUAGGAAAGUUUCCCAGUUUCAGUGAAGACGAAGGUUCAAUCAAGUAAAACAAUCACAUGAACUCAUGUGCUCUUCUCAGAGUAGACCCGUAUUCAUCAACAAGCUUGCUUGCGAUAACAGCUUGAGUAGCAAAAGCUGCAUCCCACAACUGACUGCCAAUACUCUGUUGAAAGCAAACAAGUCCAAGGUUUACGUACGUUUUAGUUACUGAUAUUUUCUUUUAAAAAAUAAUAUUACUGCGGCUGAAUCACAGCUUAUUAACACUAAACCUGCAUUUUCAUUCCAUCUUCUGCAAGCCAUAGAACAUCAGGAACUCUAGCAAGGUGAAAUUUGAACGCAUCUGAAGUCGGGUCUUCUGCCCAGCAAGCCAUCAUGUUCAAGGACUGAAAGUAUCCAACAGUCAUUAUUCAUAAUGUAGCAUAACAAGAACUCAAACGAAUCUAGUCUAGUAUGAAUUUUUCAAUCGAUAUUCUUAUAGCAUCUUGAUCUCAGAAAUCAAACUUCAUUACUUCAGUAUCUGAAUGAUUCAAUCCACCUAUGUUCUACAGGAAUACCUUUUCAAUACUAG